GACGAAGGUGGCGAGCGUUGUUCGGAAUCACUGGGCAUAAAGCGCGCGUAGGCGGCUGUGUAAGUCAGGUGUGAAAGCCCUCGGCUCAACCGAGGAACUGCGCCUGAGACUGCACGGCUUGAGGUCCGGAGGGGAGAGUGGAAUUCCCGGUGGAGCGGUGAAAUGCGUAGAGAUCGGGAAGAACGCCGGCGGCGAAAGCGACUCUCUGGUCGGAAUCUGACGCUGAGGCGCGAAAGCUAGGGGAGCAAACGGG
rnacentral:rRNA from 1 species